CACUCAUAAUUCACUUUCUUAUAUGAAGUUGACUUAUCAAUUAUUAUAUAGGUAAAAAGGUUAUAAAUAUACAAAAAGAUAUACUAACAAAAUCGGCAAAUACGCAAUUUGUGUGUUCUACAAAUAUAAUUCUGUUUCAAUAAUACCAACAUGAGUCAUAAAAAAUGUGCAGUAUUGCACUGUAAUGGGACAGGUAAACGAAUGUUUACCUUUCCAAAGCCUACCAAAAAUAAAAAUAAGUUUUUAAAAUAGUUAUUGGCAUGCGGAGAUGAAAAAUUAUUAAAAAUAGCAGAGAAAAAAAUAGCCAGCAGAACAAUUUAUGAGAACCAUUUUGAGGAAAGAUAUAAAUUUCCAAAGAAAUUAAGCAAUGAUGCUGUUCCUACUUUAUUAUUACCAAAACCAAUUAAUAUUAUACAACAUGAAAGGAUUGAUGUUACAAAUGCUUCCGAAUUUAUAUCAAAUGGUAAAAGUUAACUUAUUAAUCUGCACACAUAGCACAAAAUCUUCAAGAGAUGUCUAAAGCUGGUAUGGAAUAAUGCACAAAUUAACAGAUUUCCAUAUAGUGCCAAAUAAAAUAAAAAAAAUGAAGGUUUCCUAUUGCACUUAAGUUUUUAGUCGCUCUAUGGCCUCAGUAAUGACACUAAUGAGUUCAACUAGAUCUUUCAGUUCUUGUGGAACAAGAUGCAUGCCUCAGGAAGGAAAAGAAACUGCCGAAUUGUUGCUAUUUUUUAAUAAUUUAUUUGACUGUCAAUGGCAAUAUUAAUAUAAAAGAUGGACAAUAUGAACAAUGGGACGAUGCUAUUGCAAUCUUUAAUACAAUAGAAUUAAAAAAAAAAAGAAACCGUAUGAUCGAAAACUUCCUGAUGUCCUAAAAAACUGGAUACUAUCAAGGAACAUACUAUCAAGGGAUUUUAAUUAAUAGUUGAUUAUUGUAAAGAAUUAGGUUUUAUCGAAAUACCUACCAAACUUUUUAAUCAAGAUGCUUUGGAAAAUUUUUUCGGGCAAUUAAGGCAAUAUGGUGGUAGAAACAUCAACCCAAACUGUACUGCUUUCUUAGGCUAUUAUAAAAGUUUGUUAAUAAAUGCAUUUAUUCAGUCUUCUUCAAUAUAUGGAAAUUGUGCAACUGAUAAUAUUUCUACAUAUUUGUUAAAUUUUAAGCAACUUUUGCAUUCAUCUAUAUUUGAAAACAAUGAAGUUACACCUAUACUUAAUAUUAAUAUAUCAAUAGAAAUACCCGUGCAAUGUGAAAUUAUAACGAUAAAACGACAUUUAGUAUGCAUAAUUUUCUAAUUAAACAAUUAUUGUUACUAUUCCAUAAAUGUGAAACAUGCAUAAAGAAUUUAAAUAUGUUGCAAGAGAAUAUAAUUUUUAAAAAUAAUAUAUAAUAUAUAAUAGCAAUAGAAAAUAUAACUCGUUUAUACUUAUCACUAAUAUCGCAUUACGUAAAAUUUUCAACUUAUAUUAAAGAAAAUAUAAUGCAAAGGAUUGAUUUUGAAUUUAUAAAAUGUGGGUAUGAAAUGUCGAUGAAAGCUACCCAGGUAGACUGACCUCAAAUGACGUACUAAUGACGUCUUAAUGACGUUAGCUAACAUCAUUAAGACGUCAUUAGUACGUCAUUUGACGUCAGUCUGCUACCAGGGUAAGUUUAUACAUAUGUAUGUUGAUCAUAUUAUUAAUCAUUAUUUUAGUGAUGUUCGAAAAAUUUUAAAAGGGUCAUUAAAUUUACCCAGUUAUUCAGAUCUUCUUUUUCAAAUUGCAGAUGAUUAUUUUAAGAAACACAAACGAAAUAUUCGCAUAAAUCACUUGUGCUUGUAAAUAAUGCUUAUAUUUACUGUUUGUGCAUGUCUAUAAUGUUUGGAUCUAUUUUUACAUAUUAAUGUACCCAAUGAGCAAAAUGAGUGCAAAUUGAGCGCAAAUUGGCAGCAAAUUCGAUCAAAACUUGAUGCCAAAACCAUAUGCAACUGUGUCCUCUUUAGGAUUGUAUUUUGACGUCAAGGCUUGAUGCGGGGCAACUUACAGUAAAUUUGCAGCAAAAACAACGCAAGUUUUGCUGCGCAUAACUUAGCACCAAAUAGGCACCAAACACUGAGCAACAUUUGCGCACAAGACACGAGAGCAAAUUGGCAGCAAAUCCGCAGCAAGCUUUGCACUCAAUCAGCUGAUUGAGAUGGUGGCGACGUACGUUGGGUUUUAAAUGGCUCCUAACCUAUAUAUUGCUAAAUUUUAAUUGCAAUUCUGCAUUUAAAAAGGGAAAGGUGUAUAUAGAAAUAAAUAUUUGACAAAACAGACUAUGUAAUUUAUUAUAUAAAUAUAUAUACAUAUAAGAUCACGAUAUUCGUAAUUAUCGUUAUUUACAUGUAAACGAAAGCUAAGAGUCCCGUCUUUUCGGGACUGACGGUGAUACGGUCCGCCGGCGGAGAUGCUGCGCAAACAGUGCGACGCCUAGCGAUUUGAAACCCGCAUACGCCAAAAACUAUUCCCAUUGGGCGACCCAACCAGAUACACGCAAAUCGUCUUCCACAGUUUCGAU